GCUCCCCCUGGAGGAACUGAAGGAGGUGUCUGGAGAGAGGGACGUCUGGGCGUUUCUGCUGAGUCUGCUGCCCCCGCGACCCGGUCCCGGAUAAGCGGAAGAUGACGAGUACGAGUACGGGUAGCUUCUAUUCAUGUGGGCAAUAUUCAAUUCAAUUCAAUUGAAAGAUACUUUAUUGAUCCCCGAGGGGAAAUUAGAAUAUGGCAUUUUCCUUUGCAUAUCAUGUGAAGUGAUGCGUAUAGUUUUAACCUAGUUAAACCAGAUAGGAGUGAUGCAUUUAAAAUAUUAAUAACUUUUCUUAACUUUAGGUUUUGGCCAUUUAAAGCAUUAGAAUUAUUUAUCAGGAAUAAUUUAAUGUUGAACAUUUUCUGUUCGACAUUAAUUUAUUCCUGAUAAAUAAUUCUAAUCCUUUAACUUUUUCUAAUGCUUAAAUUAAUGUAUUAUCGUGUAUUUCAAAUGAAUGUUUUCAUUCAGUCAAAUUUGGCUGUGAAUGUCCAGCCAGAAAACAGGUUGUAAAUAACUGCAAUUAUCUCAGUUUUAUUAACAAUAAAACAUACAUUUUGUUGUUAUGUAUUUAUAAAUGAGUCACACAUCAUUUUGAUUUGUCUUGUUUACAGAUAUGUAGAUCUAAAUUAAUGGAAAUGUGUCAUGCAAUUUUAAUGCAUAAACUCAAAUUUAAAUUGAAAUAAAAUAAAAACAAAAAUUUGAACUAAAUAUUAUAUUCCUCUAUGUAUAUAAUCCUAACCCAGGUCCUUCAUUCAAAAUAUAUUCCUUAUUUUUGGAAUAUUUUAAACUCCCUUUUAAUGGCAUUAGGGAAUGCGUUCAGUCUAAUGAAUCCACAAUAAUUUUUCAAGCAAAAUAAAUUGUUUUGGAGAAGUUAAAACUAUUUAAUUAACUUUUAAUUUGUACUCAGUUUAGCACAGUAAUGUGACAUGCUGUAGACCCAUGCAGUGUAAUGCUGUACAAUUACAAAGUAUAAAGGAUCUUAACAUUGCAAACUAUCAUUUUGCUAAAAGCAGGUGUUUAUAUUCAACAAAGAACUAUCCUACACUUUGUGAAUGUUACAGUAAGAAGCCCAUAAUACCUGAAUAACAUUAUAAGUUCAGUCAUUGUUCCCCUGCAUUAACAACACAGGCCCAAUUUCAUCUUCAUGGAUGACAAUGCUCUGGCUCACUGAGGUUGCAUCAUUAGGGAAGGACUGCCAAUUCAGUCAUCCUGCUGGAGGCUGGGGUACCUAAAAUGGAGUGGCCUGCACUUUCUCCAGAGCUGAAUCCCAUAGAAAACAUAUUGAUGUCAGGCCACGGAGCUGAGUGCAGGUAUUGUGUGCUGUGUGAGUGUUAUUCUCCCUUCCUCCACAAGGGUGCGACAGGCAGUUACUGGGGCAGCCCCACAGCUCACAGCUGUGCUGCAUUUGGAGCAAUCAGCGUGAGGGUACUUAAGCGGCUGGGACUCUGAAGGAGGCGUUGCUGUAUGGUUGCUGUCAGCAGUCCUGCUCUGGAUAACCUCCGUGGUUCUGGUUGUUCAAGGUGAGUACUUCAUUGGAUUCACUCCCGUUCAAGGACUGCUCUGGAUCCUUCAAUUUAAAUUCAAGAAUUGCUCCCCGCUUCACUCUGCCUGUCCACCCUCCAACAUCACACACCUUCUGGAGGAAUCCGCUCACAUGGCGCGCUUGCCAGCCAACCUCAGCCUCUGUGGUUUGCUCAUCUAUCCCUGGAAUCACCACCUUCACCCACAUUGAGCUGUUUCCGGAAGCCAACCGGCUACAGAGUCCUGACGCUGCCCAGAAAACAUCCUUUCAACAAACCUGCCUGCACUAAAAAUCUCAGAGGAAAAUGUAAAUAGGCUUUUUCAGGGCAUUAAAAGAAAGAAAGUUGGAGGACCUGAUAACGUCUCCCCCAUCAUGCCUGAAAGCCUGUGCAAAUCAACUCGCUCCGAUCUUCACCCGGAUCUUCAACAAAUCACUGGAGACGUGUGA